rnacentral:rRNA from 1 species
AAGGGCCAUCGCUCAACGGAUAAAAGGUACUCCGGGGAUAACAGGCUGAUACCGCCCAAGAGUUCAUAUCGACGGCGGUGUUUGGCACCUCGAUGUCGGCUCAUCACAUCCUGGGGCUGAAGUAGGUCCCAAGGGUAUGGCUGUUCGCCAUUUAAAGUGGUACGCGAGCUGGGUUUAGAACGUCGUGAGACAGUUCGGUCCCUAUCUGCCGUGGGCGCUGGAGAACGUGAGGGGGGGCUGGCUCCUAGUACGAGAGGACCGGAGUGGACGCAUCACUGGUGUUCGGGUUGUCAUGCCAAUGGCACUGCCCGGUAGCUAAAUGCGGAAGAGAUAAGUGCUGAAAGCAUCUAAGCACGAAACUUGCCCCGAGAUGAGUUCUCCCUGAGACUACAAGUCUCCUGAAGGAACGUUGAAGACGACGACGUUGAUAGGCCGGGUGUGUAAGCGCAGCGAUGCGUUGAGCUAACCGGUACUAAUGAACCGUGAGGCUUAACCUUACAACGCCGAAG